rnacentral:rRNA from 1 species
UACAGAGGGUGCGAGCGUUAAUCGGAAUUACUGGGCGUAAAGCGCGCGUAGGCGGCUUUGCAAGUCGGGUGUGAAAUCCCCAGGCUUAACCUGGGAACUGCAUUCGAGACUGCAUUGCUAGAGUAUGGGAGAGGGAAGUGGAAUUUCCGGUGUAGCGGUGAAAUGCGUAGAUAUCGGAAGGAAGACCAGUGGCGAAGGCGGGUCUCUGGACAGUUCCUGACGCUGAGGCACGAAGGUCAGGGGAGCAAACGGG